UAAUGAUGACGACUAUGAUGAUGGCGGUGAUGAUGAUGAUCAUCAUCAUUAUGAUCAUCAUCAUCAUCAUCAUAAUCAUCAUCAUUU
rnacentral:pre_miRNA from 1 species